rfam:Triticum aestivum genome assembly, contig: Triticum_aestivum_CS42_TGACv1_scaffold_225425_3B
AACAUACCUCCUCUGUCCCGAAUUACUUGUCGCGAAAAUGGAUAACAAUGGAUGUAUCUAAAACUAAAAUACAUCUAUAUACAUCCAUUUCUCUGACAAGUAUUUCUGAACGGAGGGAGUAGUUG